GCAGCGGUGGUUCCGUGGUAGAACUCUCGCCUUCCAUGCAGGAGACCCGGGUUAGAUUCCCGGCCAACGCA
rnacentral:tRNA from 1 species